ACAGAGGGGGCAAGCGUUGUUCGGAAUUACUGGGCGUAAAGCGCGCGUAGGCGGCUUUGCAAGUCGAUUGUGAAAUCCCCAGGCUUAACCUGGGAACUGCAUUCGAGACUGCAUAGCUAGAGUAUGGGAGAGGGAAGUGGAAUUUCAGGUGUAGCGGUGAAAUGCGUAGAUAUCUGAAGGAACAUCAGUGGCGAAAGCGACUUCCUGGACCAGCACUGACACUGAGGCACGAAAGCGUGGGGAGCAAACAGGA
rnacentral:rRNA from 1 species